UGGGGAAUAUUGCGCAAUGGGGGAAACCCUGACGCAGCGACGCCGCGUGGGUGAUGAAGGCCUUCGGGUUGUAAAGCCCUGUCGGCUGGGAACAAGUUAGACGUGCUCAUACCACGUUUGAUUGAGUGUACCAGCAAAGGAAGCACCGGCUAACCCUGUGCCAGCAGCCGCGGUAAUACAGGGGGUGCUAGCGUUGUUCGGAAUUACUGGGCGUAAAGGGCGCGUAGGCGGUUGCGCAAGUCAGAAGUGAAAUCCCGGAGCUUAACUCCGGAAUUGCUCCUGAUACUGCGUGGCUAGAGUGCGUUAGAGGAUGGCGGAAUUCCUAGUGUAGAGGUGAAAUUCGUAGAUAUUAGGAAGAACACCGGUGGCGAAGGCGGCCAUCUGGGACGCAACUGACGCUGAGGCGCGAAAGCGUGGGGAUCAAACAG
rnacentral:rRNA from 1 species